rnacentral:misc_RNA from 1 species
GUAGGUGAACCUGCGGAAGGAUCAUUACUUGUUGUAUUUCAGCUCGUCUGACUAUACAUACAAACAAACACCAAUCUGCGCUCCUUUUUCUUUUUCCACUCCCUACACCCUCUAUUUUUAUAUCAACUGAUCGAGUUGAGUGUGGCUGGUACUUCGGUACUCUCCCUCUCAUCUGUGGAUAUCGCCCUUUCGGGGGUAUAUUCACUUAUGUAACAACUCACUGUGGUGACCCUCACCGGUCUCCUCAGUGUACUUGAAACAACUCCUAACAAUGGAUAUCUCGGCUCUC